GUCGAUUCGCCGCCGGGUCUGACGGCUCAGUUGUUGCCUGUCGUACUGCCGGAGUUGCACCGGGGUGGAUCAGCAGCAGCCGCUGCGUCCGUGGGUGGAAGGGAUGCGGGCGCGGGUUUCAGUUCGUCGUCUGGAACAUCUUCGUCGGCGGCUGUGGCUGACCUGACUUGGGAUCCCCGCGGCGAGAGGCUGGCCGUGCUGUUUUCGGUAUCUCCAGGGCAGGUGAGUAGUGCGUGCAGGAGAUGUGUACGGAAAGCAGGUUGUGGGAGACGGAAUUGGGGUUGGUUUGUAAAAGGGAAACGUUUGUUGUGUUGCGGGCUGUAGUAGCUGAACUUGGCCGGUUUCCGAUCUCCCUCGUUUUCGAUUUGGGUUGUGAGCGUUGCCUUAUUUUGUGCGCGAAGAACAUUAGCCUUUUGGCUGAAGAAAAAGCGGAUAGCUGCU
rnacentral:lncRNA from 1 species